GACGAACGCUGGCGGCGUGCUUAACACAUGCAAGUCGAGCGGUAAGGCCCUUUCGGGGGUACACGAGCGGCGAACGGGUGAGUAACACGUGGGUGACCUGCCCUCAGCUCUGGGAUAAGCCUGGGAAACCGGUCUAAUACUGGAUAUGACUCCAUGACGCAUGUUGUGGGGUGGAAAGCCUUGUGCGGCUGAGGAUGGGCCCGCGGCCUAUCAGCUUGUUGGUGGGGUGANGGCCUACCAAGGCGACGACGGGUAGCCGGCCUGAGAGGGCGACCGGCCACACUGGGACUGAGACACGGCCCAGACUCCUACGGGAGGCAGCAGUGGGGAAUCUUGCGCAAUGGGCGAAAGCCUGACGCAGCGACGCCGCGUGAGGGAUGACGGCCUGGUGUAAC
rnacentral:rRNA from 1 species